rnacentral:lncRNA from 1 species
AAGGAAGCCAUAGAAAGUUAUAGACAGGCAACAGGAUGUCAUAACUACUAUUAGGAAGUCAUAUAUCAAAGCAGCCACCAACACCGAAGCCUUCUUCUCUUUUUCUGUGAUAUCUUGAUCAACUAUCAUGACCUCCUAUUAUGUUACGACAUCCUAUUACAUUCUAUUACAUUUGCAUGACAUCCUAAACCUUCUUUGACCUGUCGUCGCAACAAAAAGUAAUAACGAAGCCAUAAGAAGUCAUAGAUGGACAACAGAAUGUCAUAACCGC